UCUGACAAAUGGAGAUUUUGCUUGGAUCAUUACAUUUACCUAAAUAAUAACUCCACUUGCUUGUUCUUGGCUCAGGUCCUUAAAAACCCAAUUAAUAUGUGAUUCAGAAAGCCAGAUGAAAGAAGGAAAAAGAAAGACAAGAAAGGCGCAGUAACUUGAAGUUCAAGAUUCUGGUUGGUUCCAACGUACCAGCGUUGAGGUGACCUUCACACAGGAAAUGAAGCCACCAGGAGAGUGUGUGCACUUCCCCUGACUCGGUCCCGGGCGCUCUGUCCUGAGAGCGAGAGCAGCACUUGUGAACAGUCUUGGUGUGUCUGCUGGUGCCCGUGUACAAGCGCUGCUCUAUGGGUACAACCAGGAGUGGCAUUUCUGUUGCAGGAUAGACACAUUUGUGGCUUUAAAAGGUUUCUGCACUGCUACAUGAUGCUGCUCAUAACCUGAAAGCCGUGUGCUGCGGACCCAGGAAUAG